AAAUUUAAUUAAAAUAAAAAUAAAAUUAUGUUGUUACUAUCUCGAGUGGAUUAGUUUUGUAGUUAUGCACGGAUGACAUGUAAUUUACCAAAAUAUUAUGUUGUUGCUCUUAUGAUUUGUCUCUCUUAUAUUUGUUUUAGUAAAUUAUAUACUCCCGUAUUUCCAAAGAAGUUUGAAUAACAUUUUUCUCCUCUCUUGUGUUAAAAUAUAUACUUUGGUCCAUUUUAGUAAAAUUAAAUAUUUUUGUGAUAAAAAA
rnacentral:lncRNA from 1 species